rnacentral:rRNA from 1 species
UACGAAGGGGGCUAGCGUUGCUCGGAAUCAUUGGGCGUAAAGCGCACGUAGGCGGUUCGUUAUGUCGGAUGUGAAAGCCCUUGGCUUAACCGAGGAAGUGCAUCCGAAACUGGCGAGCUAGAGUACGAAAGAGGAUCGCGGAAUUCCCGGUGUAGAGGUGAAAUUCGUAGAUAUCAGGAAGAACACCCGUGGCUAAGGCGGUUCUCUAGUACGGUACUGACGCUGAGACGCGAAAGCGUGGGGAGCGAACAGG